UGUUGCACCCUCUACAACCACUGUGAUUAUUAUUAUUUGACCCUGCUGGUAAUCUAUGAACGUUUUAACAUUUUGGCCAUGUACUGUUAUAAUCUCCACCCUGCACAGCCAGAAGAAGACUGGCCACCCCUCAGAGCCUGGUUCCUCUCUAGGUUUCUUCCUAGAUUCCUGCCUUUCUAGGGAGUUUGUCCUAGCCACCGUGCUUCUACAUCUGCAUUGCUUGCUGUUUGGGGUUUUAUGCUUCGAACACACCGACUGCUUCAUUGCAUCACUGCUGUGUAACAUUUUGCGCAACUGGGCAACUAUACUGAUGCAGGUAUGUUUUGCAGAAGGUUGCAUGCGGUUGGACACAUGGAGGAGAGAAUCAGUUUCGCAGUAUCCUCAAAACUGUGUCUUUUUGACACAACUGCUGACAGCUACAGGGACGUAAACACAAAAAUGCUGCUUGGAGACAAGUGUCCACGAUAGUAGGAUUGUCAGAAGAAGACUGUAGGAGGAAGUGGAGAUGACUCAGGGACAGGUAUCAGAGAGAGAGAAGGGCAGAGAAAGAGAAGGAGAGGUCUGGGUCAGCAGCUUCAGGCCAGCAGCCUUGGUGCUUCUGCCACAUUCUUUCUUUUCUGGAUGCAUUUAUUGUGCCUAGGACAACGAGUGGCAAUUUUACAGCCAGACCCUCUACUACGUCAUCCACAAGUGUUGUCUCCACUGGUGCAUCAAGACCCUCAACGUCACCUACAAAUGCGACCACUGCCUCCACCGGUGCAGCGAGACCCUCUACAACGUCUACAUCAUCCACAAGUAUGACCACCACCGGUGCAGCGAGACCCUCUACAAGGUCUACAUCAUCCACAAGUAUGACCACCACCGGUGCAGUGAGACCCUCUACAACAUCUACAUCAUCCACAAGUAUGACCACCACCGGUGCAGCGAGACCCUCUACAACGUCUACAUCAUCCACAAGUAUGACCACCACCGGUGCAGCGAGACCCUCUACGACGUCUACAUUAUCCACAAGUAUGACCACCACCGGUGUGUAGCGAGACCCUCUACAACGUCUACAUCAUCCACAAGUAUGACCACCACCGGUGCAGCCAUGGAAGAUGUUGAAAUGGAGGAAGCACCUCUGGAUCUAUGACCACCUAAGAUUAUUAUGAACCUCACGGAAGUGUCCACUGAGGACCUUGUUGAACAGGAUGUGGCCGUGGAGAGAAACAGAGAGAGAAAUGAAGAGGAACAACGUCACACCAGCCCCCAGAUCCACUUAAUUCAUUUCAGCAGAGGCUCCUCCAAGCCGUCGAGAGGGAUGCAGCCCAACCUGAUGUCACAGGAAGGAGGAUGACGAGACCCUAUUUGCCAUGAGCCUGGUGCCAACACUGAAGAGGCUGCCUCAGUGAAGAAGAGCAGCAGUCAAGGUUAAAAUGUAUCAGCUGCUUUUCGAAGCCGAGUUCAAUGAAAUGGAGUCAAUUUAGCCGACCAGCUCACAGGAAGGACAGGAAGAGGAGAGGAGUUGUCUGGUUGUUGUUUUGACCUCCCUCAUUGUACCUUUCUUUUCACACACGUCAGUUCUGUUUAAAUUCAGUCAAUUCAUAAAGUCAUUUGUUUAUAAAGUCUUAGGAUAGCAUUCAUUAUUAGUGUUACAUAGAUUUCUGAAUUGACAGAAUUGAAACUCACACACCGGAGAAUUCAGAUGCUCUUGUUGGUCUCUUACGAGACUAAAGGUGAAUAUAUUUCUUUCAUUUAAAACCACUUGAAAACCAGGGUGUUGAAACUGUUUGUGAAGUUCUGUUCCAUGACAUCCAGGGGCCAUUGGUUUGUUUAGCUGUGUUAUGGCUACAUAUUAUUCCCUUUUUCUCAGAGACAGAGACACACACACACCUCUUCGUACCUCAGAUCUCCAGUGCCCUGCCCUCUCUCUCUUUAUGGCCAUGUCUGAAGUUCCCCUACUACGUCUAGGCUUUAUGAGUAGUCCCUGUAUCAGUCUGCAGUUGUGCCAAAAAUACAUGCUCUUGUUCUCUUACAGAUUACAGGCUACACAUUCAUUUAUUU